AGUGAACGCUGGCGGUAGGCCUAACACAUGCAAGUCGAACGGCAGCACAGUAAGAGCUUGCUCUUACGGGUGGCGAGUGGCGGACGGGUGAGGAAUACAUCGGAAUCUACUUUUUCGUGGGGGAUAACGUAGGGAAACUUACGCUAAUACCGCAUACGACCUACGGGUGAAAGCAGGGGAUCUUCGGACCUUGCGCGAUUGAAUGAGCCGAUGUCGGAUUAGCUAGUUGGCGGGGUAAAGGCCCACCAAGGCGACGAUCCGUAGCUGGUCUGAGAGGAUGAUCAGCCGCACGGGAACUGAGACACGGUCCAGACUCCUACGGGAGGCAGCAGUGGGGAAUAUUGGACAAUGGGCGCAAGCCUGAUCCAGCCAUACCGCGUGGGUGAAGAAGGCCUUCGGGUUGUAAAGCCCUUUUGUUGGGAAAGAAAAGCAGCAGGUUAAUACCCCGCUGUUCUGACGGUACCCAAAGAAUAAGCACCGGCUAACUUCGUG
rnacentral:rRNA from 1 species